CUCUGCCCCCGUUACGCUACCACGGUGGAACCAUUCGACGCAUCUGUCUGAACUCUGAAGGUCUCCACCAGGCGUCCAGGCCACCGCCGCCGUCCGCCGAGUGCUAUCGGGCCGCCCCACGGCGCCCGAACACGCCUGGAGGCUUCCUUUCCUUCGGUCGGAAUAUACCAUGGAGGUCAGACCGAUGGUAGCUCUACGUGCUGCCCUAGUUGGUGGGAUAGCAGCAUUUGCAAAGAUCGGUGGGGUGAUGAAAGCCGCAGGAGGUGUCAAGAUUGGUGCAGCUGCUGCGGCUGUGACAGCGGCAGCAUCGGCUGCCAUUUCCGGAAAAGACACAAGCAAAGAUACUCCGAAGGCAGAAACAAAAUGAUCCAGAGGUCCAGAAGAGAAAGGACGCCGUAGUCAAUAAACUACCGGAGCAGUUUUUGAUGCUCCAUGUUUUUUUAAUCUUGGGAAUAAGAAUGACAGUGUUGAGUUUUCCCCAAAUUAUGGUUUACUUCCAUGCAAUAGUUUUGGUUGCUCAAUGUGAUGAGCUACCUGUUACUCACACUGUAUGCCUAACCUGAUUUCUUCUGCCAUACUGUGAGCCAUGAUCUGUUUGCCCUGUGCAUGUAGAUCCUGAAGCUCUUCUGCAGUUUCAUGUGUAGAAUCCUAGUUAUUUACAGUUAGACCAGCAUAUGUACAACUGAGAUAUCUGUAGAUGUAGAAUAUUUUUAAUGUAACAAUGCCUCUGGCUGUAUCUCU